rnacentral:rRNA from 1 species
CAGAUGCUAAUACCGGGAUACAACAGAUGAUGCCUAUCAACUGUUUUAAAAAGUAUUGGUUCUGCUAUCACUCUUGGAUGGACCCUGCGGUGCAUUAGCUAGUUGGUAGGGUAACGGCCUACCAAGGCGAUGAUGCAUAGCCGAGUUGAGAGACUGAUCGGCCACAUUGGGACUGAGACACGGCCCAAACUCCUACGGGAGGCAGCAGUAGGGAAUCUUCCACAAUGGACGCAAGUCUGAUGGAGCAACGCCGCGUGAGUGAAGAAGGGUUUCGGCUCGUAAAGCUCUGUUGUUGGUGAAGAAGGACAGGGGUAGCAACUGACCUUUGUUUGACGGUAAUCAAUUAGAAAGUCACGGCUAACUACGUGCCAGCAGCCGCGGUAAU